UACGUAGGGACCGAGCGUUGUCCGGAAUCAUUGGGCGUAAAGAGCGUGUAGGCGGCCAACUAAGUCCUGCGUGAAAUCUCGGGGCUCAACCCCGAGCGGUCGUGGGAAACUGGUUGGCUAGAGUGCGGGAGAGGAGAGUGGAAUUCCUGGUGUAGCGGUGAAAUGCGCAGAUAUCAGGAAGAACACCGGUGGCGAAGGCGGGUCUCUGGGCAACAACUGACGCUGAGGAGCGAAAGCGUGGGGAGCGAACAGG
rnacentral:rRNA from 1 species